UCUCCCUUUCCCCCAUUCUCACCAGCAAAUCUCUCUCUCUCUCUCUCUCUCUUAGUCACUUCUCCCAUUCUCUCCGGCGAACCAUCUAGGGUUUUGGUCAGAGUCAUCGGGAAAGCUCAUGCACCUCACCGACUCCGAUGGGAACUAGAUCCCUGGGGUGAUGUCCACCGUUAUCGAUCUCAUCGGCGCAGCCGCCAUCUUAUCCGAAGAAGGGGAACUUAAGGUCUCCGUCGACAUGGGCAUCACCUACCUAGCUCCGGCCAAGAUCGAUGUAAGCUUCAUCAGUACAAGAUAGUAGAGAUGAAACUUUUAGCACAACAAAGGGAUCUCCAGGCUAAAAUUCCUGACACUGAGAAGUGUUUAGCUAUUGUGGAUGCAUUACAAGCCAAGAAAGGCACUGGUUGCUGAUUUUGAGGUUUUUGAGGGCAUAUAUUCCUGAGCAUGAAUUGAGAAUACUGACUCUGUGUGCCUUUGGUUGGGAGCCGAUACCAUGCUUGAGUACUCUUACGAAGAGCCCAAUUGGAGAGCAGUGAUCGGCGCAUCGUCGGAGACGAUGAAGGGGAUUGCCGCCGGAGAGAGAUGAAGGAAGUCAUGCUUCACAUCUAUGAUGUGACAACAGCGGCUCUGACAAGGCCAACAACACCAUCUUGCCAAUCAAUAAGUUCUUUAAGGACGGCAUUGGUCUCGGCAGCAUCUUCCACUCCAUUGUUUAGGUCCUCAUGCUCUUUUGAUUCAUGUUCUUUCAUUUGAUCUUUGUUCUAGUUUAAUUUCUAUUUUUACUGUGGGAUGAGGAUGAUUAAUUGUGAAAUGAGGAGUAUUUGGAUGGAAUUCCUCUUUUUUAGAGCGAAUUGCUUGUCAAAUUUAGGUUUAAUUUUUCUUGCAUUUGGAUGGAUGAUUUAAUAGUUUUGUGAGGAGUUGAAGCAAUAUGGUUUGAUUAUUUUUAUGUUUCUAAGAGUAUUUAGGUUUAUAAUUUCUUUAUGGAUUUUUGAGAUUUAGCAUAACAAGUGGUUCAAUCUAGGGUUUCAUGAACUAUGUAGUUCGGGCAUGCCCAAGAUCACAUCCAAACAUUUCAUUGCUAGUCUCCUCCAAUUUUCAGAUUUUUGGUCAUUAUAGGAAUUACUGAUUGUUAAGCGUGGAAAGUUUUAAACUAAAACUGUAGGCUAAAUGUAUUUAUAAUUCUAUCCUUACAUGUUUGCUUGAUCAUCUUAUGAACAAAUCUGGAUCUCUUAUUAUCAUAUUGUUUGUUUCAUUUACAUUUUAGCCUAAACACUAGAUUAAAAGUCUCUCCCAAAGCCAGGUCUUUAGUUGCUGCUUGACUCUUUAAAUUUUAAUGGGUAUUCAAGUUAAUUUCAUCUUAUCUGUUAUCAUAAAAUCUAGAAGGUGAAAGAAGGGAAUUAAUAAAAUAAUAACUAGAAGCAGGUAAUUUUUAAGUUUUUAUCUCCAUUUAUACUAUCAUUCUGUCUCUUUCAGUGAUGUGUGAAAUGUAUGAAAUUCAGAUUAUAAUUUUUAAGUUAUUAUUUAUUGGCAGUCAAAACAUAGUUUUCUCAUUCUUCUGUACAUACGUUUUAAAAACCAUUGAGAGUGCUUGCUAGGAAUAUCAACUACUGUGAUUCUCUCUCUAUUGGAAUAAAGCACUAAUUGUAUUUUAGUGCUUGGGUGCAAAAGCAGUUGAAAUUAAUUGGCUACAAGUUGAAGCAUGCCUGUUUGUGGAGGGAUAAUGGCAGGAUAUUUUUAACAUGAUUUUUUUUUAAACUAAAUUGAAAUUUAUUGUUUAUCAGUAGUAUGCAGGUCCUUUAUUACUAUUGUUGUUAGAGAGAAUUUAUAUAAUCAUUGGCAUUAUAAUCAUUAUUCAUUCUUGAUAAGAGUAUCAGUCUGCACACUAACUUAUCUAUUUACUGUUUGUUUUGGAAACCAUGUUGAUAGUGCUUAUUCGAUUAAAUACACCAGCAAGUAUAUGCUCUGGGAAACAAUGUAAUUAGUUAUUCCCAUUUGUCUGUUUUAGUACUUUUUAUAAAUGAACCAAGGUAAACUAUGUCAGUUUGAUUGGCCUUUGAUCAUCAUCUUGGCUUAUAAUUAUUUAUAAUAAACCGCACCCUGAUUUUAUCCAAGAUUGGUAAGCCUGAGCAGAGUGCAUGCAUCAAUUAUGUGCAUACAUAUUAUGUGAGCUAUUUAGUCUUAUUGUUCUCUAUUACUGCAAUGUGUUUGAUUGUUGGGAAAGUUUUUAUAUAGUUGUGCAGGCCUUCGAAGUGUUAGGGGAUGGAGGGCUUGAUUUAUUGGACCAUUUCUUUUAUAUUAUAUUUUAUAUGAUAUGAGGUUAUAUAUAUCUUGAUUUGCCUCUAUCAUUUACCCACUUUUUAAUGAACUCAACUAGAUAGGCUUCUUCCUUUUGUUUCCUUGUGUAAGUGUAAGAUCAAGUGAUUAACUGGAUAAACGCGUGCGUGUGGGCACAUGCAUGUGUCUCAACAGUCCACAAUCUUUUCUCUGAGGGAUAUUUUAUGCUAGAAUUCUCAAAUUUGAGUGCUUGAGCUGUUUCAGCUUGUGCUUUCCUAUUCUUCAGAAUUAAUUUAUUGGUUUAGCAUGAUGCACCAUUUUCUAAUGCAUGAUAUUUGUGUCCAUCAUCAUACUAUGUAGAUCUAACAAACUCAGUAAGGAAACUAAGAGGAGGGGCGGUGGUUUUACAAAAGUCUGUAGCCUCUCCCCAUAAAUUCAAAUAUUUAUUGGUGUCUUAGAAUUAGCCAGAGCAGAGAGACCCUGGGCUUAUAUCCGGGAAAACAGUUUGCAAGAUCCAUCCAACAAGAGAAGGUUAUUAUGUGAUGAGAAAUUGAAAAACCUUUUCAAUGUUAAUGCAAUUGACAUGAUUCAAAUGAACAAUGCAAAGGGUCUUAAUUAGCAGAGGGUUUUGGAAUGCAAUCUUCAGGAAUGCAAUCUUUACCAGCUUAAAAAAGGUAGAGGAAAACCUUGCUUUUGUAAAGAUGUAUUUGUAAAUACAAAUUAUGAGAUUUUGUA